rnacentral:lncRNA from 1 species
AUUCUAUGCUUGAUCCUCAUUUGUUGAUGGUAUGAUUGGUUCAUUGGGUGGGUCAGUUUGUUGUGUUUGGUCAGUGACAACUGAUGCUUGGGUUGAUUUCUUGCAAGACUUCCUAUUGUGACCCAUUUCUCCACAAUUUCCACAUCUUUUACGGUGACCACCCUUCCUCAUUCUUGUUUCAUCCCUGACCAACUUCCAUUCUUCCAACCUGCGUUUCUUCUUUGGUCUGCCUGGC